ensembl:lncRNA
UGGGAAUAUUAGCAAGAUUCCUAAGAGCCUUAGGUCAUUUAUAGUACCCUGCACGUACUCUCUUCUUUUUGUCUUGAAGGUCACAUGCAUUUCUUUUUUACUUUUUUCUUUAGGCUGCUAUUUUCCAUUUUCUCCAGCAGCUGUUUCUACUUCCAGCUGAGAAAAAAUUAUUUUGGAAAUACUUCAACCAUCAAAGAAGCUGCAAGUCUACACAGAUGCUUACCAUCCUGCAGCAGUGCCCUGACACCAGCUGCAGUUACGUGGCUCACUCUGGAUGUCUGCAGUGCAGAAAUCAUUGGAAGAUAAAAGACAACACACAGUUUUACUGUAAGCCUUACAUACCUGAAUCAUCACCUCUCUGAAGUCGGCAGAUCACAAGAUGAGAUUCAGUGCAACCUGGAUGGGAAGAAUUGAACUGUCAACGGGUCUGACAGUUGUUAUAACAGGAUGAAAACUGGAAGAGAAUUAAACAGAAGCACCCUAAGCUUCACCAUAAACCCAUGCCUAGUCUAACAGCUGAGAAGAAUGGAAGGGGGUGAGUUUAUAUUAUAAGAGAAGGAAGACGCCACUCAUCUCCAUCCUGCUUUCCUCCAUUCACAGAUACGGAAGUGCCACUUGCCCAUGCAAAGUUGCAGUUCUUGGUAUCCAAACCCCCUCCACAGUCAAGUUCCUAAGCAAGGACAUUUUCCAUGGUCAGACUUCACAGAUUGCUGUACUCUGAAAUGGUUACACUGUUCUUCAUCCCCCCCCCCUUAUUUUAUGUCAUUUUUAACUUCUUAAAUCAAAACUGCUCUUAAGAAAUAGCAGCUAGGCAUAAGGUACUUUACAAGAUUUAGGUUCUUCUGUUCGCUCUGACACAGUGCAAGCAGAAGGAAUCACAUGGACUUCUAUGAGCAGAUCAUCUGUCUAUUAUCUGACAUUAUAUUUUACUUUGCUACCAAACCACUUUUUUUUUUUUUUUUUUUUUAAUUCACUAUCUUAAAUAAUUUUCCUUUUCUCAGGAAUUUUACAUUUUAAACAUGAGCUAUCAUUCCCUAAGGUCAGAAGAAGGAAGCUUUGGUAGCAGAGACAGCUGCAACAUAGCUGAUAUACUACAGUCAUUAUGAGUUUGUUUUGGCCAUGCAUUAAAAUUCUGUUGAUUUAAGUAUUCAUGUGUGUCUAAUUCUGCUGGAUGAGACUGAGAGUUUUCAGGCAUCUGUGUGCAAUAUCAGUAUAACUUUCUAUUUACUUUCCAUGUGAAAAUGAGUGAACACUUUGUCAGUCUUGAUACUUUUUUUUUCCUGUACUGUUCUGUUUUGCUUUUUGCCAUGUGCUUAUUGAUAUGUCCCAUUUUUCAAUGCCACUGUAUUUUGGCAUAGAGAUCGCCUCAACCAUCAUUCAUGGAAACUAAGACCAUAGGCUCAGAACAUUUUCAAUUCACAUCACAGAGCUCUCCAAGAAGCUUUAUGAUUUCAACUUAAUUUGAAUCACACUUCCUGGAUAGUGAGUAAAAUUACAUGUUAAUUAUGAGGGGUUCCCAGCUCCUGCUAAGUCCAUGCAAUUCAAAAUACCUGCCUUAAAUCCAAAUCAGCUGAACCCUUGGCCUUGUCUUUUUCUUUUACAGAGCUAAGAAAUGGGAUAUGAUAUGUAAGAGCAGAUUUCUUGCAAAAACAGGUGGAAUUUUUAACCUUUAAACUAUCCAGACAAAGAGUAAAUCCUCCUUAACUCUUACAAGGUGCUUAUUUCAGUAUGAGCAGUAACUGAAAGUAGCAGCAUCAGUACUGGGAAGUAAAUUAGAGGAUUCACCACAUCAUCCAGAUGUAUCUUGAACAACUGCCCAUUGAGAAAAAAAUGCACAUUUACACAUAUCUAAGAUGUCACACCCAAUUUCACUAUAUUGCCUGUGAAAUUAGCAUAAUUAUUGGCAUUGAUAACAGCAUACUGCAUUUUCAUAUGGGCAAGAAUUGCAACUCUGUAGUAUGCAGCAUAGACAUAUGUAUGUCACAUACCUGUUGGCUCAGUGACGGCUGCUGGUAUCCAUAUAAUUAUAGUCCAUUUAACACAUAUCCUACACAACAAUGAGCUACUGAUCGAUAGCAAAGCACUGAAAAUUAGACUCUGAGUUAAGGAAAAACAUUAACAUAGUAAUGCUAUAUUUUUUGGUAAUGAAUCAGUGCCUUUCUAGGAGAUAGAGUCCCUCCAACAAGGACUUUGCUUUCAUUUCUAUUUUCCUCAUUUGUGGAACAAAGGUGGUGAUAAAACACCACUACCCCACAUACAGAAUGUGAGAGUUGGCUGCUUUAACAGUGAGAAAUGGUGCAUGACUUAAGUCAGGAGACAUCUCUGAUACUCUGCUGAAGUAAUGCGUUAAUACAGGAUUGCAUUCAUACAAUGCAACUAUCUGUACAGUUUCUUGCUGUGCCAUCAUUGGCUGAAACUUAUUAAUACCAAAGUCCACGGCAUACUUUGUGUAUAAAUGCUAAUAACUCAAGAAAAAGUUGUAACUUGGCAGCUAUAUUUUAAGCAAAAAC